rnacentral:misc_RNA from 1 species
GUUUCGGUCCCUUCGAAUCUUCAAUUGAAACCACCGACUCUGGCUCGGAAUUAGAUCCAAGCCCGCCCUGUCCUACGGCGGGUCCAAGCAGUAAAGAAGAAAAAUAAAGAAUAAAUAAAAAGGAUACAAUGCAAGUGAUAUCAUUUUAUCUGCUUGUUUUGAAUGUAUAAUUUUGUAAGAAUUCUAACUCAAUUGAUUUCUUUU